rnacentral:pre_miRNA from 1 species
UCUUUGGGAUGAGCAGAGGAAGUGGUUUCUCGGAUGGAAUCUACUCCUGGUGAAGAUGCUGUGAA